rnacentral:rRNA from 1 species
GUGUCAGCAGCCGCGGUAAUACGGAGGGGGCGAGCGUUGUUCGGAAUCAUUGGGCGUAAAGGGCGCGUAGGCGGCGUCGUAAGUCAGAUGUGAAAGCCCUUGGCUUAACCAAGGAAUUGCAUCUGAAACUGCGGUGCUUGAAUCCGGGAGGGGAGAGUGGAAUUCCCAGUGUAGCGGUGAAAUGCGUAGAUAUUGGGAGGAACACCGGCGGCGAAGGCGGCUCUCUGGACCGGUAUUGACGCUGAGGCGCGAAAGCUAGGGGAGCAAACGGGAUUAGAAACCCCCGUAGUCC